rnacentral:rRNA from 1 species
AGAGUUUGAUCCUGGCUCAGGACGAACGCUGGCGGCGUGCUUAACACAUGCAAGUCGAACGAGAGGACAAGAGGAGCUUGCUUCUUUUGGAAUCGAGUGGCAAACGGGUGAGUAACACGUAAACAACCUGCCUUCAGGAUGGGGACAACAGACGGAAACGACUGCUAAUACCGAAUACGCUUGGGAGACCGCAUGAUCUUCCAAGGAAAGGGUGGCCUCUACCUGUAAGCUAUCGCCUGAAGAGGGGUUUGCGUCUGAUUAGGCAGUUGGUGAGGUAACGGCCCACCAAACCUACGAUCAGUAGCCGGUCUGAGAGGAUGAACGGCCACACUGGAACUGAGACACGGUCCAGACUCCUACGGGAGGCAGCAGUGGGGAAUCUUCCGCAAUGGGCGAAAGCCUGACGGAGCAACGCCGCGUGAGUGAUGACGGCCUUCGGGUUGUAAAGCUCUGUGAUCGGGGACGAACGGUCCGUAAGCCAAUACCUUAUGGAAGUGACGGUACCCGAAUAGCAAGCCACGGCUAACUACGUGCCAGCAGCCGCGGUAAUACGUAGGUGGCAAGCGUUGUCCGGAAUUAUUGGGCGUAAAGCGCGCGCAGGCGGCUUUCUAAGUCCAUCUUAAAAGUGCGGGGCUUAACCCCGUGAUGGGAUGGAAACUGGAAAGCUGGAGUAUCGGAGAGGAAAGUGGAAUUCCUAGUGUAGCGGUGAAAUGCGUAGAGAUUAGGAAGAACACCGGUGGCGAAGGCGACUUUCUGGACGACAACUGGCGCUGAGGCUCGAAAGCGUGGGGAGCGAACAGGAUUAGAUACCCUGGUAGUCCACGCCGUAAACGAUGAGUGCUAGGUGUUGGAUCCUUUCCGGGAUUCAGUGCCGCAGCUAACGCAUUAAGCACUCCGCCUGGGGAGUACGACCGCAAGGUUGAAACUCAAAGGAAUUGACGGGGGCCCGCACAAGCGGUGGAGCAUGUGGUUUAAUUCGAAGCAACGCGAAGAACCUUACCAGGUCUUGACAUCCCGAUGCUAUUUCUAGAGAUAGAAAGUUACUUCGGUACAUCGGUGACAGGUGGUGCAUGGUUGUCGUCAGCUCGUGUCGUGAGAUGUUGGGUUAAGUCCCGCAACGAGCGCAACCCCUAUUGUUAGUUGCCAUCAUUCAGUUGGGCACUCUAGCGAGACUGCCGGUAAUAAACCGGAGGAAGGUGGGGAUGACGUCAAAUCAUCAUGCCCCUUAUGACCUGGGCUACACACGUGCUACAAUGGUUGGUACAACGAGUUGCGAGUCGGUGACGGCAAGCUAAUCUCUUAAAGCCAAUCUCAGUUCGGAUUGUAGGCUGCAACUCGCCUACAUGAAGUCGGAAUCGCUGGUAAUCGCGGAUCAGCACGCCGCGGUGAAUACGUUCCCGGGCCUUGUACACACCGCCCGUCACACCACGAGAGUUUGUAACACCCGAAGUCGGUGAGGUAACCUUUUGGAGCCAGCCGCCUAAGGUGGGAUAGAUGAUUGGGGUGAAGUCGUAACAAGGUA